rnacentral:rRNA from 1 species
AUUGAACGCUGGCGGCAUGCUUUACACAUGCAAGUCGAACGGUAACAGACCGCAAGGUGCUGACGAGUGGCGAACGGGUGAGUAAUGCAUCGGAACGUGCCCAGUCGUGGGGGAUAACGCAGCGAAAGCUGCGCUAAUACCGCAUACGAUCUAUGGAUGAAAGCGGGGGACCGGAAGGCCUCGCGCGAUUGGAGCGGCCGGUGUCAGAUUAGGUAGUUGGUGGGGUAAAGGCUCACCAAGCCAACGAUCUGUAGCUGGUCUGAGAGGACGACCAGCCACACUGGGACUGAGACACGGCCCAGACUCCUACGGGAGGCAGCAGUGGGGAAUUUUGGACAAUGGGCGCAAGCCUGAUCCAGCAAUGCCGCGUGCAGGAAGAAGGCCUUCGGGUUGUAAACUGCUUUUGUACGGAACGAAACGGUCUGGGUUAAUACCCUGGGCUAAUGACGGUACCGUAAGAAUAAGCACCGGCUAACUACGUGCCAGCCGCCGCAGUAACAC